GGAUAAAAAAUCAAAAGUAUGUAAGAAUUAAAUUCAGAAAUAGACCGAGAUUUAAAAUAGUUCAAAAGUUAUAUAGAAUUUAUAAGAAUCCACAAAUAGUUCAUUCCAAUACUCGACUGAAUAAUGUUGACGUUUGUGGUUCAACGUAUUUUCCAAUUCAUAAUAGAAAUAUAUCAUAGUGACAUGUAAUAGAACAAUAUCAUAGUGACAUAUACUAGAACAAUAUCAUACUGACGGGAUCUUUAACAUGAUAUUUCUUUUUUUGUUUUUUAUUAGUCGUUACGUUUUUUAGUCGUUUAAUAAGUUGUUAUAUCGUUGACUUAAACAGUACACCUCAUUUUUUUUUUAAUUUUCAGAAAAUCUUUAGAAAUUUUGAAGUAUGAACAAUAAUUCGAAAUACUGAUAUGUUACUGCCUGUGGUUAUAAUGGUACUGAAUCGGUGAUAAAUUUCACAUGCGACAGUUAUUGAUACUAAAAAUGUAUCAAUGAGUGCCGCAAAUAUGGCAACUAUCGCGAAGGAACGUUUAGCAGCUCGAAAUUUUAGCUGACACCGACAUUGCAAUCGCAAUAUCGGUUUCUUAAACAAAAGAAGAAGUAAAAUACU
rnacentral:lncRNA from 1 species